rnacentral:lncRNA from 10 species
UAAAAUAUUAAUAUAUACAUUAAAAAUAUUCCCAGCCGGGCGCAGUGGUUCACGCCUGUAAUCCCAGCACUUUCGGAGGCUGAGGUGGGCAGAUCACUUGAGGUCAGGAGUUUGAGACCAGCCUGGCCAACAUGGUGAAACUCUGUCUCUACUAAAAACACAAAAAAUUAGCUGAGAGUGGUGGCAGGCACCUGUAGUCCCAGCUACUCGGGAGGCUGAGGCAGGAGAAUUGCUUGAACCUGGGAGGCGGAGGUUGUAGUGAGCCGAGAUUGCGCCACUGCACUCCAGCCUGGGUAACAGAGUGAGACCCCAUCUCAAAAAAAAAAAAAUGUGUAUAUAUAUAUAUAUGUAUUUAAUUAAGCAUUUUCUCCUUCCUUCAUGGUCAAACCCAAGUGCCCACAUUUCAGGAUUAGCUCUUCCCUGAGAGGUCUGCUCCACAGAAUCAAUGCCACCAAACAAUGAGGUGCUGACUGGCACCAAACAAUGAUGAGGUGCUGUUUGUGGCACCAUGCUGGGAACAGAGACACAGAAAGGAUAUAAGUGGAUGGGGCACUGAAUCCUGGCUCUAUAGAACCCUAAGAUUUAGCACCAGGUCAGAGACAAGCCUUUGAACAAGGUUAAAUUCUGAAUUUCUAUCUUCAUCUGCAAAGUGGGGUGAGUAAUCCCUUCGUAUUUUUCAGGAUUGGAGUGGGCCAAAUGAGAAAAUGUGUGUAAAAGCACCUUGAAAAUUGUUGUUUUUGUUUUUUUGAGACAGAGUCUCUGUCACCCAGGCUGGAGUGCAGUGGCACAAUCUCGGCUCACUGCAACCUCCGGUUCCCCAAUUCAAGUGAUUCUCUUGCCUCAGCCUCCCGAGUAGAUGGGAUUACAGGCCUGCACCACCACGCCUGGCUAAUUUUUGUAUUGUUUAGUAGAGAUGGGGUUUCACCAUGUUGGCCAGGCUGGUCUCAAACUCUUGACCUCAGGUGAUCCACCUGCCUCAGCCUCCCAAAGUGCUGGAAUUACAAGCAUCAGCCGCCGCGCCUGGCCGCUUGAAAAUUGUAAGCCUAGGCCACAGGAGGAAACCCUGUCUCUACAAAAAGCACAAAAAAUUAGCCAGGCAUAGGGGCGUGCCUCUGUAGUCCCAGCCCCUUGGGAGGCUGAGGUGGGAGAAUCACCUGAGCCUGGGAGGUCGAGGCUGCAGUGAACCAUGAUAGCGCCACUGCACUCCAGCCUGGGUGAUAAGAGUGAGACCCUGUCUUUAAAAAAAGAAAGUGGCCAGGUGCGGUGGCUCCUGCCUGUAAUCCCAGCACUUUGGGAGGCUGAGGCAGGAAGAUCACAAGGUCAGGAGUUUGAGACCAGCCUGGCCAACAUAGUAAAACCCCAUCUCUACUAAAAAUACAAAAAUUAUCCGGGCAUGGUGGCACGUGCCUGUUGUCCCAGCUACUCGGGAGGCUAAGGCAGGAGAAUCACUUGAACCCUGGAGGUGGAGGUUGCAGUGAGCCAAGAUCAUGCCACUGACUGCACUCCAGCUUGGGCAACAGAGUGAGACUUUGUCUCAAAAAAAAAAAAAAGAAAGAAAGAAAAAGAAAAGAAAAGAGGCCAGGUGCAGUGGCUAAUGCCUGUAAUCCCAGCACUUUGGGAGGCCAAGGCGGGUGGAUCACUUGGGGCCAGGAGUUCAAGACCAGCCUGGCCAGCAUGGUGAAACCCUGUCUCUACUAAAAAUGUGAAAAUUAGCUGGGGGUGGUGGCACACACCGGUAAUCCCAGUUACUUGGCAGGCUGAGGCAGGAGAAUCGCUUAAACCUGGGAGGCAGAGGUGGUUGCAGUGAGCUGAGAUUGUACCACAGCACUCCAGCCUGGGUGACAGAGCGAGACUGUCUCAAAAAAAAAAGGAGACAGAGAGAGAAAGAGAAGGAGAAAGAGAAAGAGAGAGGAAGGAAGGAAGGAAGGAAGAAAGGAAGGAAGGAAGGAAAGGAGAAAGAAAAUUGUAAAGUAGUGCUCACUUGGGCAGCACAUAUUCUAAAAUUGGAACGAUACAGAGAUUAGCAUGGUCCCUGCGCAAGGAUGACAUGAUUUUAAAAAUUCUAAAGUAUGCCGGGUGCGGUGGCUCACACCUAUAAUCCCAGCACUUUGGGAGGCUGAGGUGAGUGGAUUACCUGAGGUCAGGAGUUUGAGACCAGCCUGGCCAACAUGGUGAAACCCUGUCUGUACUAAAAAUAAAAAAUUAGUCGAGUGUGGUGGCAUGUGCCUGUAGUCCCAGCUACUCGGGAGGCUGAGGCAGGAGAAUCACUUGAACUCAGGAGGCAGAGGUUGCAGUAAGCUGAGAAAAAAAAUUCUAAAUUAUUUUUAAGGUAUUAUUAUUGAAGAGCUGGCGAUUGAUUCAGCAGAGGAAAAAUACAGAAAUAACAGAAAUCAUUACUAAAGAUACAUAAGCAUGUACAACCGUAACUACAUUUUUGAGCACUCACUAUGUGCUAAGCACUGUAUUAAGUGCUGUAUAUGAAUCCCCCCUCCUUGGUUUUUACAAUAACCCUGUGGAGUGCUGCUAUUAUUUUUAUUUUACAGAUAAGCAAAGUGAUGCUUAGAGGGGCUAAGUCACUCACUCAAGGUUACAUGGCUACUAACUGACAGUCCGUAAGGAGGUUCGGCCAGUUCAGACUGACUAUGAGAGGACAGCAUUUAUGGUCUGUCAGGGAAGCUGACCGUCUCCACAGGAUUCUUCUCAUAGCUUCACAGAUCAGCUCUGGGAUGGAUGCAGAGGCUCCUGUUUCCAUGGUGACGCGGGGAGGCUGGUACACCGCACGCCAAGUGUAGGCGAAGCAGAGAAUUGGCCGAGGAUCCAAAGGUGCCGGCAGUAACCAGGCUCUGGGAAAAGGGAUCGAUGAGAAAGCCAAGUCUGGAUGACUGGACCUCCCUUGAGCUCCAGAAGGACCUCCACCCCCACCACGCCCCCUGCCCUCCCUAAGCUCCUAAUUUGGAAGUCGAAGACGGGAGAGCCGGGAAAAGAAGCGAGGGGGCUCCAAAGCAGAAGCCACCACCUCUAACUUGUUUUGAAGACAAAGCCUAAUCGUCGGUGGGAAGACUGCCCGGUGGGCGAUGGCCCCCUCCCGAGGCGCCUCCGCCUCGCUCCCUCCCUCUCCUCUCCCGGCUCUGACCUCAGUCGCAGCCACCGGGCUCUCGGCCGGGCGCUGAAGGGGAGCCGGGCAGCCAGCAGGGGGCAGAAUCCCCCGCAUUAAAGGCGUGUGUGGGCCUGCUUCCUCUGCUUCCACCUCGCCCCUGCUUUCACUGGGAUUAUUUUCAGCUGACAGGCUGCAAAGGCGCAGUAGGUGGAUUUCAGGGCAGGAGAUGGGUUCUGACAGGGGCUGUGAGCCUGUGAAGCGUUGGUCUUAAGCUGUGGGCCCCACUGAGGAGCCGCGUAUUUAGGACCACAGAGUCAGGGGCUGAAGCAACGGGCACUUUAACUUUUUCUGGCAAAGGUUUCUUCUGAGGUUUUUCUCAAUCCAUUGAAAACAUUUAAAACACUGUAAUUGUGAAGAGGAGGCUCAUUCAUUCAUUCAAUAAUGUUUAUUGAGUAUCACCUAUUAUUGUCACGAUGGAUGCAUCCAAUCAAAAACGAGUAUUUACAGAAAGCUUACACACACUGAUUCUUAACCUUUUUUAGGGGGCAGGGGUGUCACAUAUCCUUUGAGAGUAUGAUAUAAAAAAAUACAGAUUAUCUCCCAAAAAGAAUGCACUAUAAGCCUACAAACAUUUUCAUGUGAUUUUGGGAGCAUCAGGAACCCCUGGCAGCUCAUCCACGGGCCCCAGGGCAUAAACCCUGGUCUAUUUUGAGCUGGGCUCUGGGCUAGGCACUAAGGAUGCAACAGCAAAUUAGAUAAGCAUGGUCCCUGCCCUGCCUGAGUUCUGCAGGCAAGUGGGAGGCACAAAGAGAUGCUUAAAAUACAGUGCCAAUGCCUGUGCUGGAAGACCCCAAAGGAGGGCCACUUAUCUAGACACAGGGGCUUCAUGGAAGGCUUCCUGGAGUGACAGGUAAGCUGAGAGACCUGAAGAAGAAGUAGGAGCUGGCCAGGCGAGGACCUGAGGAGGAGCACUUUGGGCAGGAGGGAAGCACCUGGAAAGGCCCUGAGAUUCCCUCUCAGCAGACCUGAGAAGCUGACAGCAGGCCCUCGUGGCUGGCUCAGAGAUGCCAGGAGCAGGACUGGUGAGAAAUGAGGCUAGAGUGGUAAGUGCCAUAUGUAGGCCCUGGGAUGCAACAGAGAAUAGGCAGACAGCUGCUCCCCUCAAGGACACCAACAAGAAAGCCGGUGGUUAUGAUGCAGAAGUGUUAAGUUCCACAUUGGGAAUGAGCAUUUGGUGGUAUGGGAGUAGGUGGAUGAGCACUGAAUUCAGCCAUGGGGAUCAGGACCAAGGCCCAGAAAGCGGGGCUCCAGGUGCAGGUGGAUCAGUGAUAUAUUUAGUGUAUUCAGAAUACUCUCAGAACCUGAAAACAGCUGGAAGGAAGAGGUGAGGGGAGAGGAGGAGGGAGAGAGAAGGAAGGGGAGUCACCAAUAUACCUUGAUCUGACUGCAACCUACCAUUAGGAACAUCUUUUAUUCUGGGGGUGAGGAGGGCUGGGUGGGGAUGAGCUCAGGUCUACCUAUUCCCUUUUUUAUGUUGCCCAGGCUAAACUCAAACUCCUGGGCUCAAACGAUCCUCUCCACUCAGCCUCUUGAGUAGCUGGGACUAUGGGUGCAUGACACCACACCUGGCUGUUUUUUUAAGUACCGGAGUUGUGACCGGAGGAAGCCUUGGACAAAAAAGUGGUGAGUAGAGAUAACAGCAAGCUGGGCCUCUUGCUCCCUGCUGUGGACCUAGGGAUGGGACUGGGAGAGCAUGGGAUGAGCUAGGAAAACAGGAGAUGUUGUAGUGAUUUAUUGCUGGUGAUUUUGUUUCAGAAACACUCUGAGUCGGGCCCAGUGGCUCAUGCCUGUAAUCCCAGCACUUUGGGAGGCCGAGGCAGGACGAUCACUUGAGCCCAGGAGUUUGAGACCAGCCUGGGCAAAUAGUGAGACCCUGCCUCCAAAAAAAAGAAAAAAAAAAAAACACUCAUAUACAGUAGCCCCUUCUUAUCCGUGGUCUUGUUUUCCAUGGUUUCAGUUACAUGGAUAAAAAGGGGCUACUGUAUAUGUCUAUGUAUGUAGUCUCGCCUUCUGUGGUCAAUCAUGGUUUGAAAACAUUAAAUAAGGCUGGGCGCCAUGGCGCAUGCCUGUAAUCGCAGCACUUUGGGAG